AUACGUAGGGUGCAAGCGUUAAUCGGAAUUACUGGGCGUAAAGCGCGCGUAGGCGGCUGAUUAAGUCGGAUGUGAAAUCCCUGGGCUCAACCUAGGAACUGCAUCCGAUACUGGUCAGCUAGAGUUUUGGAGAGGUAAGUGGAAUUUCCGGUGUAGCGGUGAAAUGCAGAGAGAUCGGAAGGACCACCAGUGGCGAAGGCGACUUACUGGCCAAAAACUGACGCUGAGGUGCGAAAGCGUGGGUAGCGAACAGGAUUAGAAACCCCUGUAGUCC
rnacentral:rRNA from 1 species